rnacentral:lncRNA from 1 species
CGCUAUGCGUGCUAGUGGCUUUACAAGAAGCUGGGCACGCGGGCUGUGUCAGCUGACCUUCGCUACCCUCAACAACAACAACACCUGAUCUCAGCAUGGCCGGCAUACUCAGGAAUUUUGCGCUAAAUGCUGCACGCAGCACACUAUCCAGUGUGAGAGUGCACCGCCACUUUUCUACUACCUCACGAUGCUUAGCCGUUGCCGUCACCAAGCCAGCACCCAGCUUCAAGGGUCAAGCAGUAGUAGGGGGGCAGUUCAAGGAG